CGCUCCUCUGGCCUCUCCUAGUUCCGUAGAAGCUAGAGCCCCCUCUAAUUUUGGCGGUUAGCGCCCGAAGCCGUGACGGUUCGGCCGCCGUUCCGCCACCAACGAGCUCGCCGUGGACAAGCCAUCCCGGAGCUCCUCUUAGCCAUAUAGUGAGAAAAACGGAACCCCCGUACGCCGUAGAUGCUCAUGCCCCCAUCAAUCUGGUCGGAAACCUUCCCUACCACCCUAGCCCCGAGCUGCCCGAGCUCGGGAUCAUGGCGUUUCUUGGUUUGCCGCCGUCCAUGCGCUGCCGUGCGCCGUAGCCGCCUGCGGGGUGUUCGCCGGAGCUCUCCGCACCUUCCCCGGCCGCUGGCCUCGCGCCAACCCGGCCUCACCCGGCUGCAUCCUCCCCUGCUGCUUCCGCUCGGGCUGGACUGCUGGAGGUUGAAGACGACUCCCUUCUGAGUCGCUGACGAGCUAGGCCCACCUCCAUCUUCUCGAUAGAAAAAUAAUUUGGAACAAAAGAAAAUCAAGACCUUGACCCCAUUUGUCAGUCCGGUAGCUGUGGAUGGGAUUUCGGAUUAAAAUAAAUCAAUUAGGAACAGUAACUUUUCGCUAUUUCUCGGAUUAAUUCAAAUUUGAGUCUUUAAACUAGCAUAACUUAUUCAUUUUAACUCCAAUUUGAGUGAAACUUAAACCUAAAUUCAUAAGCUUCCCAAUGGUAUAUAACUCACUAUUUAAUAAAAUAUAUUUAUAAUUAUUAAAUAAUUAAUAUCAAAUGAUUAGAUAAUGAUUAAACUAAAAAUGUGCUAGCAAAUAAAAAUUAUCAUUGUACAGUGAACUAGGUAGAGGAAUAUUUGUUGUUAGCAUGUUCUGUCACUAUGGGAGAACCAUGUGUAGCUAUAUGUAUUAGUUCAAUUUAAAGCAAAGAUAGGACAUAUUAGUAUCAUUUAUUAUUCCAUGAUUAUAUAUAGUCAAGUUCAUGAUUUAGUCAUUGUCUAAAUAGAGGAUUAACUUAAUGAGUUUAUAACUAAAAAUCUAAGUACACACAUAUCACAGUCCUUAGUUUGUCCAUGAGGUAUAAUAAGAGAGCUGGGUGUGAUGGAAUCAAUCGAAUGAUAGAUUUAACCAGUGCAAUAUCCUAUAUAGUAGUAUAUAUAUAAUUUGGUUGACGCCUAUUAUUUAACAGAACAAUAAAUAACUCAUGUUCGGUAAAUGAUCCAAUAUUAACAUAUUAUUGAACUCGCAUGUAUAGUACAUCUAUUUAACACAUACACAGUAAGUCAAUCACCUACUUUUGCACCUAUUAAACUAUGAAUUGUUCGAUAAACAUCAAAGUUAGAUAAAACACUAAUUAUAAAUCUUGACCUCGUUACAAGACCACACAGACAAAUAAUCUGUACCUAUAACCUCACAGAUCUAACAUAUAGAGCAUGGAUGAUUAUUAACCCUUUUAUAAUUUAUAAUGACAAGUAAAAUAUGAUCAUAAUUAAAAUAAUGCCCCAUUGGUAAAAUAAUAAUAUAAAUGAUUCCUUGUGAUUGCUUGUUGAUCCUAAUUAAAUUAAUCCAUCCAACGACAGAACCUUUAAUAUAUGACCAUUUUACUUGAAUAGAUGCAUGCGUAGUCAUAUAACCCUCCCAUAACCCUAUAGCUAGACUAAACCACAUAGUAGCACUGUAUAUCUCAUAUAUUAUGCUAGUAGUACCAAUAGAGCCAUCAGGACAAUAUAAAAUACUAAGAAACCUUAGCCCAUAAGCUUUCUUGUCUCAUCAGCUGCUUGCAUGCUAAGUAAUUUAGAGCCUAAGCUACCUCAAUUUUCCUUACCUAUAUAAACUGUGCAGCCAUAGUAGAGACUUCGUAGCACCUUACAAUCCAUUAGCAAACACAGUAAAAUGAGCAACCCUAGUAUUGGUGUAUCGAUUAGUCGUGAAGCAACAUAUGCAAGCUUCCAGGAGGUGAAGGUUGAUCAAGAUUAUAUCAAGAAUAGGAACUAUCCUGAGCAGCAAGUCAUCACUAAUCUUUGAGCAUGUUGAACCCAUUGCGAACUUAUUUUGGAUUUAAAAUAAAGUUUGCAUGCUAUAUGGAUAUACGUGAAUGUCCUACUUUGUUAUAUGCCAUGCCUUUGAUAUUGAUGACCCAUGCAAUCCUUGUAAUCCAUAAUAUCGUGUGUCUUUACUCAAUACUUUAUAAAUGCUUAGCCAUGCUACUUUAGAAUCAUGCAUAUUCAUAUUUAUCAAAAUACUUUAUGCUUGGGCAACUACCUUUGGGAAGGUGGUUGAGAUGCGGCAUGUGGAGACAUGAGUGCCACAUUGCCAUGACAUUGGUGACAUGAUUUGUGAAAGGAAAAAUAAAACUAAACAACUGUUUUCGACUGGGGCGACUGGAUGACUUGGGUGGAGUCCGGUAAAGGCUAGUGCCGUCCCUGGUCAAUUAAGGACCGAGCCAUGAAGUUAAGCAUGAAACGACCUCAGUACAACCGUACUUCUCGUGUGGGUAUAGACCUAGCAGAGUAAAUAGCCGAGCGGAGGCGGAACCCAAGCCGUAGUGGUUUUCUUGUUGUGUGUGAGGCAGGGACUACGGUGGGGCAGCCAUUGGUAUGACCACGAGGGGCGGGUGCCUACAGUGGUGUCGCCAUCGGUAGGACUGCCAUGUGUAAACAUAAACUUAACUAUAACUUAACUCCUCUCACUGCUAGAAAUCUUGGACGCCUAGAGUGCAUGAGGACUAAAGUUGAUGGAGCGGGUACUGCCAAAGUGAGGUUAUGGAAAGGCUUUGCCGUGGCAAGUCUCAUUCGUUGGGAUGUAGGCUCAUGUGUUGGGCAAGUCGCGGAGUACGGGUAAAGUGUACAUCCACUACAGUGUGAGUAAAUCAAUCUAUUCGAAUAGCCGUGCUCGUGGUUAUCGAGCACCGGGACGUGUAUUACACUUGGCUAGACUCUAAUUUCUUAAUCUGAUUGGGAUGGGAUAUGCAUGAUGAUUUUGUGCUGAUGGAUCAACUUCUCGAGAGGCGAGAAGGGGUAGACCCCAGAAAACCAUGACGACCAGUGGCGGGAAGCUAUCCUUGGGAACACAAUGGAUGGUGGACAGAACUGUCGCUGUUUAAUGAACCAUGGAGUUAAAACUUGAUUAGUUUAUGCUAGGUCUUAGGUUUGUGAAAUGAUAUUUGAAAACUCAGCUUUACGCAAAGUAACCAUAGCCACUCCUUGUAUUAUCCUGUACAUUACUGCAUUUUGUGUGGUGGCUUGCUGAGUACUUUUGUACUCAUUGUUGCUCUAUAUAUACCUUUUAGCAGAGUGUUGAAGAGAAGCCCUUGUUAGUACGCUUGCGUACCUA